AGCUUGCUUUUUUCGCUGACGACCGGCGCACGGGUGAGUAACACGUAUCCAAUCUGCCUAUUACUCGGGGAUAGCCUUUCGAAAGAAAGAUUAAUACUCGAUAGCAUAAGAGAAUCGCAUGGUUUUCUUAUUAAAGAAUUUCGGUAAUAGAUGAGGAUGCGUUUCAUUAGAUAGUAGGCGGGGUAACGGCCCACCUAGUCCACGAUGAAUAGGGGUUCUGAGAGGAAGGUCCCCCACACUGGUACUGAGACACGGACCAGACUCCUACGGGAGGCAGCAGUGAGGAAUAUUGGUCAAUGGGCGCGAGCCUGAACCAGCCAAGUAGCGUGAAGGAUGACUGCCCUAUGGGUUGUAAACUUCCUUUAUAUGGGAAUAAAAAGAGCCACGUGUGGUUUAUUGUAUGUACCAUUAUGAAUAAGCAUCGGCUAACUCCGUGCCAGCAGCCGCGGUAAUACGGAGGAUGCGAGCGUUAUCCGGAUUUAUUGGGUUUAAAGGGAGCGUAGGUGGAUAAUUAAGUCAGUUGUGAAAGUUUGCGGCUCAACCGUAAAAUUGCAGUUGAUACUGGUUAUCUUGAGUACAGUAGAGGUGGGCGGAAUUCGUGGUGUAGCGGUGAAAUGCUUAGAUAUCACGAAGAACUCCGAUUGCGAAGGCAGCUCACUGGACUGCAACUGACACUG
rnacentral:rRNA from 1 species